rnacentral:rRNA from 1 species
UGGCGGCGUGCCUAAUACAUGCAAGUCGAACGCUUUUUCUUUCACCGGAGCUUGCUCCACCGAAAGAAAAGGAGUGGCGAACGGGUGAGUAACACGUGGGUAACCUGCCCAUCAGAAGGGGAUAACACUUGGAAACAGGUGCUAAUACCGUAUAACAAUCGAAACCGCAUGGUUUCGGUUUGAAAGGCGCUUUUGCGUCACUGAUGGAUGGACCCGCGGUGCAUUAGCUAGUUGGUGAGGUAACGGCUCACCAAGGCAACGAUGCAUAGCCGACCUGAGAGGGUGAUCGGCCACAUUGGGACUGAGACACGGCCCAAACUCCUACGGGAGGCAGCAGUAGGGAAUCUUCGGCAAUGGACGGAAGUCUGACCGAGCAACGCCGCGUGAGUGAAGAAGGUUUUCGGAUCGUAAAACUCUGUUGUUAGAGAAGAACAAGGAUGAGAGUAGAAUGUUCAUCCCUUGACGGUAUCUAACCAGAAAGCCACGGCUAACUACGUGCCAGCAGCCGCGGUAAUACGUAGGUGGCAAGCGUUGUCCGGAUUUAUUGGGCGUAAAGCGAGCGCAGGCGGUUUCUUAAGUCUGAUGUGAAAGCCCCCGGCUCAACCGGGGAGGGUCAUUGGAAACUGGGAAACUUGAGUGCAGAAGAGGAGAGUGGAAUUCCAUGUGUAGCGGUGAAAUGCGUAGAUAUAUGGAGGAACACCAGUGGCGAAGGCGGCUCUCUGGUCUGUAACUGACGCUGAGGCUCCAAAGCGUGGGGAGCAAACAGG